UACAGAGGUCCCAAGCGUUGUUCGGAUUCAUUGGGCGUAAAGGGUGCGUAGGUGGCGCUGUAAGUCGGGUGUGAAAUUUCGGAGCUUAACUCCGAAACCGCAUUCGAUACUGCGGUGCUCGAGGACUGGAGAGGAGACUGGAAUUCAUGGUGUAGCAGUGAAAUGCGUAGAGAUCAUGAGGAAGACCAGUGGCGAAGGCGGGUCUCUGGACAGUUCCUGACACUGAGGCACGAAGGCCAGGGGAGCAAACGGG
rnacentral:rRNA from 1 species